UAACACAUGCAAGUCGAACGGGGUACCCAGGACAGAGGUUUCGGCCAAUUGAAUGGAAUACCUAGUGGCGGACGGGUGAGUAACGCGUGAGGAACCUGCCUUGGAGUGGGGAAUAACAUUCCGAAAGGGAUGCUAAUACCGCAUAAUGCAGAGGGGUCGCAUGGUCUUUCUGCCAAAGAUUUAUCGCUCUGAGAUGGCCUCGCGUCUGAUUAGCUUGUUGGCGGGGUAACGGCCCACCAAGGCGACGAUCAGUAGCCGGACUGAGAGGUUGGCCGGCCACAUUGGGACUGAGACACGGCCCAGACUCCUACGGGAGGCAGCAGUGGGGAAUAUUGGGCAAUGGGCGCAAGCCUGACCCAGCAACGCCGCGUGAAGGAAGAAGGCUUUCGGGUUGUAAACUUCUUUUAUCAGGGACGAAGAAAGUGACGGUACCUGAUGAAUAA
rnacentral:rRNA from 1 species